AUGCAGGGCCUGUCUCUCCUCCCGUGCGCUGGUCCUGUCCCCAGGCAUUGGGCUGCUUCCUGGGGAUGGGCUGAGGUUGGGACGUGGGUCCAGCUUGGUGAGGCCCAUGGCCUAGUAAGGCGAUGCUGUGGGGAGCUGGAGACCAGCACUGGCACAGAGACAGACAACCCUGCAGGCUGCAAUGAGAUCCUGUGCCACCAGCAAGUUGGAGAAGGCUCCAGAGUGCAGGGCAGACUGUUUUUAGACGUGAGCUGCUAUUCAAAGUGUCACGAGAAACAGGAGGCAUCUACACUGCAGUUCAUUGCACUACAGAAUCACUUCUGCAGAAGGACUGACAGCACUGAAUCAAAACACUUAUGCAGACAGACAGCACUAAAAUGUAUUAGGAAUUGAAAUGAGAGCAAGCAUAUGAGGUCUACUUGAACCCUUAAACAACUUGAACUGAAGGUUCCAGUUGCUGUGUGUACGGUUCUCUUGCUCUCAUGUCUCUGUUCAGAAAUGUGAAGUCCCCAUCCAAGAUUUGUUGGACCUGAGAUGCAAAAAAAGAAGUGUGUGAACUAUGCAUGGGUCCUUGGGAGGGUUUGGUUUAUUAAGCAUCUGAGUUAUACACUGAGGAGACUGAUUUUGGUUCAGAGUAAAGAAAUACUGUCCAUCUCUGACAAGUAAUGUAAUUAGAGGGCUUGGUGAAAAAUGUAGGACUGAAUUCAUAGCUUUUGCUACAGGGACUUGAAUCCUGAAGACCUUUGCAAAAAAAUGCCGUAACCAUUUUGAUACAAGCACACCUGCAAAGGUGAAUAAUUUCAUCUGUGACAAUAUUAGUUCCUCUGUGCAGAAGGGAGGGCUGGAGACACCACAGAAGAGCAAGUAGAAAUUGAAGCAUAGACAAUCGUGUGCAUGUCACUGGAGAAGAGAUGCUCCUUAGGCUGCCUAUGAGUUUAGUGUUAAGGACUGAUUGAAAGGAGUGCAUCAUCAGCACUGCAAAGCAGGAUCUUACCCCAGAACAGCAAAUCCACAAAGGAGUUGACUGAUCUGCGUAUCAGUAUAAAAAUGUCACUUGAAGCAUUUACUUACUCAUUUACAUCUCUCUUGUCCUAAUCAGAACUACUCUGAAUUUGAUGAGCUUUGCCAUUGAUUUUUAUACUGUUGGCACAGGCUGUACAUUUAAAUUUGACUCUGCCUUUGUCAAAGAAGUAUCGUGGUAGAUUUCAAACAAUAUUUACCACUGAUGAUAUAAGCUGUCAUUUUGAUUACAAAAAGAGGCUCUGUGGGGAGUAGCUGUAAUAAAGUGUCAGGCCAUAAAAAUCCA
rnacentral:lncRNA from 1 species